rnacentral:snRNA from 1 species
GGGUCUCUACUCAAGGUCUGGUGUCCCCACAGGUUAGGAAGUAUCCCCUGUCUCUCUGGCCACCCCAAAGCAGCAUGCUGGAUCAAAGAGAAGUCUUUGGUCCAAGAUGUGUGGGCAGCCGCAUCUUCUGCCAGAAUCUCCAAUACGCUCUUCAGUUCCAUUUGCAGGAGGCUGGAGACCCAAGCUUCAAGACUCCAGAUACAUCCAUGCCGUGUGCAUGUGGCAAUCUGAAUUUCUUU